UUUUGGGGGCAGAGCAAGAUGGUGAAAUAGAAGCCUACACUUUUCAUCUCCCCUGCUGGAACACCAAAUCUUAACUGUCUGCACACAGAAAAGCACUGUCACAGGAACCAAAAAUCAGGCAUACAGAGCAGUUUUCAAGCCUCUAUAGAAGUCAUCUUACAGCGAGUCUGAGCCAGUGAAAUGCAGUUAUAGUGAUAUGUGUACUCCCAAGGUAGCUGUCAAUGCUCCUACUCGGAAAUACUCAUAUGUUGCUUCUGACUUGAAGCAGAGGAACUCACAACCUAAGAAGCCACAGGCUUGAAGAUGGCAGAGCACAAGAUGGCAGAAGUUUGGAAUGAAUUACUACUUGAAAGAGAAGCUCUUAUUUACCAAGAAAUAUAUUUUGGAAUUUGCAUGAGUAAGAAAUAAAUCCAAUUAUGCUAACAUUA
rnacentral:lncRNA from 1 species